AACGAACGCUGGCGGCAUGCCUAACACAUGCAAGUCGAACGAGACCUUCGGGUCUAUUUGCGCACGUGUGCUUAACGCGUGGGAACCUGCCCUUAGGUUCGGUAUAACUCCCCGAAAGGGGUGCUAAUGCCGGAUAAUGUCUUCGGGCCAAAGAGUUAUGGCCUUUGGAUGGGCGCGUGUUGGAUUAGCUGGUUGGUAGUGUAAAAGCCUACCAAGGCGACGAUCCAUAGCUGGUCUGAGAGGAUGAUAAACCACACUGGGACUGAGACCCGGACCAGACUCGUACGGGAGGGAGGAGUGGGGAAUAUUGGAGAAGGGGCGAAAGCCUGAUAAAGCCAUGUGGGGUGAGAGAUGAAGGCGUUAGGGAUGUAAAGCCCUUUUACACGGGACGAUAAUGACAGUACCGGGAGAAUAAGCUCCGGCUAACUACGUG
rnacentral:rRNA from 1 species